AAAUCAGGAAACCAGCCAGCUUGGUGAAAGGAAGGAAGAGGAUCAAAACGUUUGGAUAAAAGGCAACUCGCAACCAAAUGGAGGUGCCCUGUGGAUGAAAAAAAAGAAGAAUUGGGUUGUGCUCCUCCAUGUUGGCAGGGGACGUCUACAAGAUGGCUUCCUCGGCCAAAGUCUGCAUCAAGGUGGCCAAGAUGCGCAAACCAGAAGGAGCAGCACAGCGUCCAUUGAAUUGAAGCAACAUAAACGGUUCUCUGUGAAAGCAGCCCAAUGAGAUGGAACGUGGGACCCUCCCCCAAGGGGAGGGUAGAGGGUCACAGGAGAUGAACAUCCCAGACUGGGAGGCCUCCAAGGGAACGACCAAUCGAGAAACAAAGUCCAGAACGAGGCUGGCGCCGCACAAAAUGCUCGAACCAGGUUUGUAAUUCCUGUCACGUAAACGGGAUUGACGCGGGUGAGAUAAUGCAACGCGAGUCAGACUCGAUUUAAAAUUCAGCUCAUUCAAAGCGAUCAAGCUCACGAGCAGAACUCAAAGUCGACUGACUGAACAUCUGUUCACGUGCUACACAAAGAUGUGCAACAAAUGUACUCUGGCGUGUCUCAUUCUUCUUUCGCUGGCUACCUGUCAUGACCCCGAAGCGCCAGUUGUUUUGUCCGAAGCCUCGCACGGAUCAUCGCGGCGGUAACAUUGUU